UGUUGUUCUCUCUUGCCUGACCUCCGCUGAAUGAGAAACAUACCGGGAAAAAAAAUUGCAAGUCAAAGAAGGUGGAGUUUCAGAACACACCCACCGAUUGCGUAACCGCUACAGACCAAUGAAAGCUCAAAGGUGUUUAGGUGCCGAAACAAACUCCCCCAGAAAGUUCGCUUUGGUCAGCUGUUUCGAACUGCCAAAACAAUCUCAAAACGACCUUCGUUUCGGCCUGAUUUUGUUCGAAAUGUCUUCAUAUCAGUUUGUUCUUCGAUUUCAUUUGAAGUUUAUUGGGGCCUUAAUUCAAAGAAGUAGCCUAUAUAUGUUAUUUUGUGGUUUGAAGAUGAUUUGUCAUUCAGUGCUGUGGAAGAAAAUUGUUGUUUCAUGAAAAUGGCAAAAAGACAUGCAGCUGCUGCUGUGAAACACUUACAGAGAGCGAAUAAGCACAAGUUAAGUACAGACAGAUCAGGAGUCACUGUGCAAAUAUACCGUACUUUAUAAAUGUGCUAAUAUCUGUGGGAAUAAUAUGCUUCAUUCUGAUGCUGCUGUGCAGCCGUCCUCAUGAAGACAGGAGUGUGAAGACAUACAGUAGUGAGAAGCAUGAUCUGCUCUGUGCUGACAGCAAAGUCUAAACUCAGACUCUAUUUAUUAUUAUUUAUUAUUUGUCAACUUUCUGUUCCUUUGUUCUCAUGGGUUUUGUUGAUGCUGUUGUCAGACUGGUAUUUAAUCAAAUGUGUUGAUGGAUUCAUGUUAUCUUUUGUUGAAUGUGAAAAAAUAUGACAUGAAUUUUUGACAGUAACCAUGUGUUGUUGUUUGUUCUGUAUUGUAGGGUCAUGUGCUGAUCCAGAUGUUGAGGUGCACAAAGCUGUUGGAGACUCACUGGAAUUAAUCGCUGAUUAUCCAAAAAGAGAUCUUGAAGUGCAGUGGAAAUAUAAUCAGACUACAUUUGCUGAGUAUCCAAAUGAUGAUCUCCAAAAAGUGAAUUCUGAAUUAUUUAAUAACAGGUUACAGAUGAAUAAGAACAAUAUUAGUGUAACAGUAACAGACCUUACACUCCAGGAUUCUGGAAGAUUUUCUAUUGUUGCAGAAAUUAUAAGUACUGCUAAACAAUAUAAAACAAAAGUCUUUUUGCUAUAUGUUCAUGAUCUCAUCAGAGAGGUAAAGAUUGAGUACAAUUAUGUCUGGCUGCAAUCAGAAAACAUCUGCAUGUUUCAUCUUCGGUGUGUGGCGUCUGGUGAUCCGAGUCCCUCCUACAGCUGGAUCAGUCCUCAGACUCAAGGAUCACAGCUGAAUAUCAGCCUCAGUUUAGCAGAGAGCGCUACACUCAACUGCACAGCCAACAACACCGUCAGCGUUAAGUACACUACCAAGACUGUAGUGUGCACAGAGAAAUAGGGCAGUUCUGUGUAAAAACUUAAAUGAUUAAAUUCUCAAAGGAUUAUACAGUUUACAAAAAGAUUACUAUGAAAUAAAGACAAACUUAGAAACA
ensembl:lncRNA